GAUGAAGAACGCAGCGAAAUGCGAUACGUAAUGUGAAUUGCAGAAUUCAGUGAAUCAUCGAAUCUUUGAACGCACAUUGCGCCCCUUGGUAUUCCGAGGGGCAUGCCUGUUCGAGCGUCAUUAUAACCCCUCAAGCUCAGCUUGGUGUUGGGGCCUGCUGCACUGGCAGCCCUUAAAAUCAGUGGCGGCGCCAUCUGGCUCUAAGCGUAGUAAUUCUUCUCGCUAUGGAGUCCUGGUGGAUGCUUGCCAUCAACCCCCAAUUUUUCUAUGGUUGACCUCGGAUCAGGUAGGGAUACCCGCUGAACUUAAGCAUAUCAAUAAGCGGAGGA
rnacentral:misc_RNA from 1 species